UGUGGCCAUAGUGUCACGGGGAGCUGGCACCAGGUGCUGCACAAAGAACGGGACUGGGGCGUGAUCCAAAAAAACUUCUCUCCAAGUCUUCCCAGGCACAAGAUUGUCUUCACAGAGUCAUUACACAUUGUUUAAGCAAUGACACUGAAAAUAAGACCAUGACAAAUGAAAAUUAAAAUCAGUCCAUUUUAAAGAGUUACACGUUCCCUCACUCGAGUCCAGAAGUGGCUGCCCAGAGGACACACACAGAUCCUGUUCCUAUCCUCCAGGCAAACUCAAACAGGAAUUGCUUGCCCUCUGACAAGUGACUCUGUUUUGCACUGUUUCAGAAGAAGAAAGGCUGGGAGAGGAGAUGGACCCACAGUGACUGGGGGACUUUUAGGAUGCCCUGUUACCCUCCUUCCCAAUGACUCCUGGAUUCAGCCAGGCUCCAGCUUUUCACAGCAGCUUCAGCACAAAGCAAAAUACAGGAGCUAAUCCUCAGAGGCAGCAGCUGAAAUAACUGGAGGUCAGACAGCCAGAUCCUGCUGGUAAGCUCUGCUUACUCAACUUUGAGCAAACUGAGACAAGUUCAGCCAAAAGAGAUGCACUGGGAAGGAAGCCUCUGUAUAUUCCCAAGCAGGCAGACAGGAGUGAUUUCCAUUGCUGCCAACAGCCAGAAGAGCACGGGGGAGCUGAGAGCUGCCAAGAGCUGAAGGCAGCAGGGCCCCAGGAGAGCCACAAGCUGCCAGUGAUGGCUGGAGCUGAUCUCCUGAUCCCAAACCAACACAGCAAGCACAUCCAAGGAAAGGCUCUGACACUGCAGCCUUAAAUCCUCCUGCUCCAUUAGUGCCCCAGAAAUCCCAAAGGGUGUGUGACACCUCUGCUGGAGGAGUGCUGCCUGUCCCAGCCAGCUGCCCACAGACUCGCCCUGCAUGACCUGCCCAUGACACUGGAAUGUGCUGGAUGCAUUGUCCCCAGGACACCGUUUGUUGCACAAAAGCAA